rnacentral:rRNA from 1 species
GACGAACGCUGGCGGCGUGUCUAACACAUGCAAGUCGAACGGUAACAGGAAGAAGCUUGCUUCUUUGCUGACGAGUGGCGGACGGGUGAGUAAUGUCUGGGAAACUGCCUGAUGGAGGGGGAUAACUACUGGAAACGGUAGCUAAUACCGCAUAACGUCGCAAGACCAAAGAGGGGGACCUUCGGGCCUCUUGCCAUCGGAUGUGCCCAGAUGGGAUUAGCUAGUAGGUGGGGUAACGGCUCACCUAGGCGACGAUCCCUAGCUGGUCUGAGAGGAUGACCAGCCACACUGGAACUGAGACACGGUCCAGACUCCUACGGGAGGCAGCAGUGGGGAAUAUUGCACAAUGGGCGCAAGCCUGAUGCAGCCAUGCCGCGUGUAUGAAGAAGGCCUUCGGGUUGUAAAGUACUUUCAGCGGGGAGGAAGGGAGUAAAGUUAAUACCUUUGCUCAUUGACGUUACCCGCAGAAGAAGCACCGGCUAACUCCGUGCCAGCAGCCGCGGUAAUACGGAGGGUGCAAGCGUUAAUCGGAAUUACUGGGCGUAAAGCGCACGCAGGCGGUUUGUUAAGUCAGAUGUGAAAUCCCCGGGCUCAACCUGGGAACUGCAUCUGAUACUGGCAAGCUUGAGUCUCGUAGAGGGGGGUAGAAUUCCAGGUGUAGCGGUGAAAUGCGUAGAGAUCUGGAGGAAUACCGGUGGCGAAGGCGGCCCCCUGGACGAAGACUGACGCUCANGUGCGAAAGCGUGGGGAGCAAACAGG